GAGAGAGAGAGGUAGGUAGGGGCCAAGGGCGGGGAGGGAGAGGGAUUUGAGUUUCGUUUCUCCUCCUCCGUCCCGCGCCGUGAAAUCGCCGGCGCAUGCCGGCCGGCCGCAAUGGUUUCCGACCAGGAGAUCGCGAGUUGCGUCGAGUCACUUCUCCGCCAGUCCGACCCCUCCACCCCCGCCGGUGCCAACCUUAGCGCCGUCGUCCGCCAGGUCGAGGCCAAGCUAGGGCUCGACCUCUCCCACAAGGCGGGCUUCAUCCGCGACCAGAUUGAGCUCCUCCUCGGCCCUCCUCGCCCCGCGCCCACGCCACCGCCCAACCACCACCGCAACCUCCUCCAGCAGGGUCCCGCGCCCCUCGCCUCCGGCUCCUUUUCCCACCAGCCGGGCCUCGCCUACCAGUACCCCCCACCCCUCCCCGCAGCCGCCGUCGUCGCCGCCUACCAUCUCCAGCAGCAGCUCCAGCAGCCGCCCCCGGCGGUCCCUGCCGCAGUUCGACCUGCGGCUAUGACCCCAAAGGAAAGUGCUACUACUGGAGUUAAAAGAAGGGGUGGCCCAGGUGGUCUAAAUAAAAUGUGUGGUGUUUCACCUGAACUUCAGGCCAUUGUUGGUGAGGCAACCAUGCCUAGAACUCAGAUUGUGAAGCAGCUAUGGGCGUAUAUCAGGAAAAACAAUCUACAAGAUCCUAAUAACAGGAGGAAGAUCAUCUGCAAUGAUGAACUUCGUGUAGUUUUUGAGACAGACUGUACUGACAUGUUUAAAAUGAACAAGCUGUUAGCUAAGCACAUCAUUCCACUUGAGGCCACAAAGGAUGCAGAACCAGACUCUAAAAAACUGAAGACUGAAGAUGUGGUUGCUGCAGCUGAACCUGAUGCUGGUCAAUAUCAUGUGAUUAUUUCUGAUACACUCGCUAACUUUUUUGGUACUGAAAACAAGGAAAUGCUCGAAACUGAGGCUUUGAGGCGUGUAUGGGACUACAUAAAGGCUAACCAGCUGGAGUUAGAAAUAUGUGGAAGAUUUCAAGUACCAUUGGAAUAUUGUACCAUUCUGAUGGAAAACCGGCACCUCUAUGGGCCUAGGGACACUGAAACUGGUUGGGCUGAUACAUACCAACUGAUUUGCUUUUCAUUUGUUUUGGUUCUCUUAGUCUCGGUAUGUACCAAUAGUAUUGGUACCAUUACAGAUACAAUACUGUUCUAAAGGCGGCUGAUUUACCCUUCUUUCAAAAAAGAACGGCUUCUAUAACAAAAAGGAUAUUGCUUGAAAUAGAAAAAAAGGUGCUGCAACCUGAUGAAUUGACCCCCAACUAGUCGUGGAUGCAGAGAAUGUAUCAAUACUGUGUGACCCCAAGCUUCAAGAACUUUUUGGAUGUGAAAGCCUUCCUGCCUCAGGGUUAUCUGAGAUAUUGGCAGGCCAUCUAGUGAAGCGGUCAUGACAUGGGUGACAUUUACUGACAUGCGUUUCAGUGGCGUCAAGUUCCUCUAACAGUACUGCAUAGGAAACUUGAUUGGAAGAAAACCAAUUUGUUAUGUGCUUGAUUGCUUGUAUGUGAUUAUGUUAAACAUGGUAGAUUAUACUGAGGGAAUCUGUAAUUUAUUUUAGGUUAGUGGCGUUCAAAAUGAUUGCGGUUGGUGUGCUGUUCUGGUGAUUUAUUGGCGUCUGUCUCAGUUUCCCGGGCUAACUUUUUAAUCUAUGUAGAAGAGAAGAUUUGAAGUUGAUACCAGGUAGCAACUUGAGUGACUCUUCCCCUUCGACGCGGACUCUCAAGACAACUGACUGCCGGCAUAUGCACUCUGUGUGAUGUGAACGCUGUCACGUGGAUCCUCUCUGACUUUGUUACAUAUAUGUUUGCUUCCCUCCUUCCUGACAGUAUAAAUAAAAACUCAAAAUGUGGUGGUACAAUGCACGAGGAAUUCGAGAAGCAGAAGGUAACAAAUUUUAUCUCCGCA